UGCGUUUGGGGUUUGUUUACCUAAUAUGCUUCUUUACAUACUUAACAUACGAUGCUUCCUCCAAAAAGGGCGUCCACUUGUUUUGUUAGGGUUUCCAUCCGGCUGUGCAAGUUUUGAGCGGAAGCCAUCUAUGCACAUUCAUUUUUCUCUGCAAAAGGGGAAGAGCAGAUCUUACCGCGACAGGAUAGCUCGGUGAGAAAAAUGGUGCAACAAAACCUGUCAAGGCACAUCCUAAAUAAAUAUGAUGAUUGGAGGCUGUUAAAGAGCAAUAUGAAUGCUGUAGUGAGGGUUAUAAAAGCAGCGAAAGAUGCAUACCAAAUAUUUGGGAUGAGAUCUACUUAUCAAAACACAGUUCUCACUAAUUGUGGGACACGGUUUGCAUAAAUUAUGGGAUUGGCGGUUCUGGUAAAUCUUUGAAUGAAGAAGAGAAAGAGAUAUUUUUGGAUAUUGCUUGCUUCUUCAUUCCAAUAAAUGAGAGUCAUCUUGUUGUAAAUUUUUAUUAUCAUUUUCUCAUUGUUGUAAAGAUUUGACAAACCUGCGGCAUAUAGAUAUGUGUAACUAGUUGAAGAUGUUGCCAGUCUCUUUUAAAGAGUUAUCUAUAUGUUUCACAGAUUUGACAAAUCUGAGGCAUAUACAUUUGUGACUAGCUGAAGAUGUUGCCAGAUUCUUUUAAGGAGCUAGUGCAAUUUUCCGCUGUCAACUUGAUUAGUUGAGGAGGUUGCCAGUUUCUUUUAAAGAAUUAUCUAUCUAUUUGAUGGAUAUGACAAAUUCAGAAUAUAUACAAUUGUGAGUAAGAAGUUGCCAGAUUCUUUUAAGCAACUCUCUCUCAAUUCAUAUAUAUGUCUAGUUGAAGAUGUUGCCAGAUUCUUUUAAUCAACUACCUAAUGGAAGAUGUUGCCAGAUUCUUUUAAGCAACUAUCUAGUUAAAGAUAUUGUCUACUAAUUUAAUCAAUUGAAUAUAUUGUGAAUUUCUCUUAAGCAAUUAUCUAUCUGUAUCAGAGAUUUUACAGAUUUGAGGUAUAUAUAUGUGUGACUAGUUGAAAAUUUUGCCGUUCUCUCUCGAUGCUUACAUUCUUAGUUGAAGAAGUCGUCUGCUUUUUCUAAGCAGCCAUCUCUCUACUAAAAUGAUACCAGUUGAGGAUGAUAAUUUCUUUGUAGCUGCUAUCUAUUUAUUUUAACUAGUUAUCUUAGUACUCUUAUUACCAAUUUUCUUUAAAGCAAUCGAUCUUUUAUGUAAUUAGUUGAAGAUGUUCAUUAGUUUCUAUUAAGUUGCCUCAGAUGUUCAUUUGUGUAACUAAUUGAAGAUGUUGUCAGUUUCUUUCAAACAGAAUAUGUCUAUUGCACAAAUCUUUGGUUUAUAGAUUUGUACAAUUAUUUAAAUAUGUUAAUAAUUCCUAUUAAACAACUGUUUAUUUGUUUCAAACCAAAUUUAAGUUAAAAUAUUUAUUCACCUAAUUUCAAGCAGUGAAUAAAACUGCUCAUAUGAAUUGUAGAUUUUGCCAAUUUCUUUUAAAUAGCUUAAGAACUGAAACUUGUAACACGUGUAAUCGCAUAGAGUUGAAGAUGAUGUGUAAAUGUUGCCAGUUUCUUUUCAACAACUUAUGGAACAUGUGCAAUAUGGAGUUGAUGAUGAUAUCAGUUUUUCUAAGCACCGGAUAAAGGCUACAUAUAGAAUUGUGCACUUGCAUUGUGUUGAAGUUGUCAUGGAUUUCUUUUAAGCAGUUAGCAUUCCCACAGUAUUGUGUCUCAUCAAAUUGUUUCAAUGUUAUGUUCAUCGGACACAUUUCAAACACAUGACAAAAGAAUCUGAAGUUUAUGGGAUGGGAAUUGCCAAAGGUGCCUCAUCAAACCGCAAAUUUGACGCCCCUGGUGCAGCGUCAUAUGGAUGAGGUCAAAAUAAAGAAGGUAUUGAGUAACAUUGUUAAUUGAGCAAAUUAUAAUUUCUGAAUAUUUCAAGUUUGACAGACUCUCCUAGAAAUCUGUCCUGCCUGAAUCAUCUUUGCAAUUGUUGAUUCUUAUUGAGUGAAAUCAUUAUUGCAAUCUGUCGGGCAUCUGAUACCCUGUAUAGUGUCUUUGGGAGUGACUUUUUACCAAAAACAUUUCACUAACUGUCUAAUCUCCAAUAUGAUUAUUGGAAUCUGUUGGGCAUCUGAUACCUUGUAUAGUGUCAUUGGGAGUGACUUUUUUACCAGAAACAUUUCAUUUUAGUCUAAUCUCCAAAGAUUAGGGAUAUCUGACUGCUAACCAGACGAAUGUGUCUUGGUUCAAAGUCUGCUGCUUCUCAUUUUGCAAGCUUUAAGCAAGACAUGAUUACCGAAGGAAACAAUUUACGAGGACUCUUGUCCCAGCUGUUGAAAUUUCAUAACUUGAGCAAAAUGCUUGCCAAGUGUGCAAUGGCACUACACAGCAUUUUAUUUAAUUAUGGCUACAUUCUUGGUAAACUAUACUCUGCCUUCCCAACUUAUUAUAGCGGACAUCUCAUUCAUUUUCUCUAUGAUCUAUUUUGUGCUGUGUUUCAUUUUGUUUUAAAUUUUAUUAAAUAUUUUUAGUGAUCAUGGAGGCUGUUUGAGAGAAUUGCGAAUUCUGUACUAAAGGUGAUGAGAAGGGUUCCAAUAGAGGUGAUCAAACAUAUGGUUGGACGGUACUGUAAAACACUCAAACAAUCACACUGAAAUAUCUGUACCGUGGGCAGAAUGUACAACAUGUGAAGACGGUAGCUUCAGUUUUCUGUGUGAUGGGUGAUGUGCUGUGGCCAAAGACACUUUGCAUAAGUUGAAGUUAAAACGUUUGGAUAAUCUUAAUGUCAAUUUUUUAUUUAUUUCGACAUUACACAUAAAUGUGAGGGAAUUCCAGCAAGACAGCAUAGGUCCAUUGGCUUGAUGCAGAUCAUGUGGACCAACUAGAUUCUUUACUACCAGCAAACGACAGCCUUGGAUCGAAUUGUUGGAAAAUUGUCACAACGUGGACAUCGGGAUCGAAUUGUUUGAUUAAUGUCACAACAUGGAAAUUGGGCGUCCUCAGAUUGUGUGUUAAUUCCUCCAUUUGUAGAAUGCUGUUGCUGCCAUUUUUCUGAAAGGCUUAAAAACAGCAAUUUUAAAUUUCUGUUUGAAAUGUUUGAAAAGUUGCCUUAAAAGUGCAUUUAAGUUUUUGGCUAUAAUAAAAGAGGGAGUUUUGUUGGCA